GGGAAGGUGGCUCAGUGGUAGAGCACUUGCCUUGCAUGCAUGAGGCCCUGGGUUCGCUUCCUCAUCCUU
rnacentral:tRNA from 1 species